CAGCGUACUCUCUGGAGUGACGGGUACACUGUGGGGACCGCCGCUGCUAAAGCGGAGGAAGGAAUGGGCAACGGUAGGUCAGUAUGCCCCGAAUGUCCCGGGCUACACGCGGGCUACAAUGGUUGGUACAAUGGGUAUCUACCCCGAAAGGGGAUGGAAAUCUCCUAAAGCCAAUCUUAGUUCGGAUUGAGGGCUGCAACUCGCCCUCAUGAAGCUGGAAUCCGUAGUAAUCGCGUUUCAAUAGAACGCGGUGAAUACGUCCCUGUCCUUGCACAACCUCCAA
rnacentral:rRNA from 1 species